GAUGAACGCUGGCGGCGUGCCUAAUACAUGCAAGUCGAGCGAACAGACGAGGAGCUUGCUCCUCUGACGUUAGCGGCGGACGGGUGAGUAACACGUGGAUAACCUACCUAUAAGACUGGGAUAACUUCGGGAAACCGGAGCUAAUACCGGAUAAUAUAUUGAACCGCAUGGUUCAAUAGUGAGAGACGGUUUUGCUGUCACUUAUAGAUGGAUCCGCGCCGCAUUAGCUAGUUGGUAAGGUAACGGCUUACCAAGGCGACGAUGCGUAGCCGACCUGAGAGGGUGAUCGGCCACACUGGAACUGAGACACGGUCCAGACUCCUACGGGAGGCAGCAGUAGGGAAUCUUCCGCAAUGGGCGAAAGCCUGACGGAGCAACGCCGCGUGAGUGAUGAAGGUCUUCGGAUCGUAAAACUCUGUCAUUAGGGAAGAACAAAUGUGUAAGUAACUAUGCACGUCUUGACGGUACCUAAUCAGAAAGCCACGGCUAACUACGUG
rnacentral:rRNA from 1 species